UACGGGGGGAGCAAGCGUUGUUCGGAUUUACUGGGCGUAAAGGGCGCGUAGGCGGCCACCGCAAGUCAAUUGUGAAAUCUCCGGGCUUAACUCGGAAAGGUCAACUGAUACUGCGGGCUAGAGUGCGGAAGGGCAACUGGAAUUCUCGGUGUAGCGGUGAAAUGCGUAGAUAUCCGGAGGAACACCAAUUCGAAGGCAGCUCGCUACACAUAUAUUGACUCUGAGGCACGAAAGCGUGGGGAUCAAACAGGA
rnacentral:rRNA from 1 species